UCUAUUUUUUUAUUUUUGAAUUAAUUUACAUUUAGUUGUCCCUCUCUCGUUAUCAGAUUUGAUUUAUUCAUUUGGGUUACUUUUAGCCAUUCAUCCUAUUUUCUGGUUUUUAGGACUCUAAUUGAUUUUCUACAAAAUGUCAGCCUUCUAUCAUGAAAACCCUUUCAGUAAACUAUAUUGUGUUAGAUUUGAUGUGUGUAGUGUGUUGUUCUGUGAUUGUAAGUGUAAACCAUACUGUAUUAUUGAAUAUUGUAUUGAUGUUACUAUAGUACAUUGUGAAAACAAUGGGUGUGCAUUGUCACUGUAAAUAGAGAAAAUAAAACUAUAGUCGUAACUGUAACCAUUUAACAAUACUGUCUGCCAUGACCACUACAAAUAAAAGAUUGAAGAAAUAUGAGAGUAAAGAAAAAAAAGAAGAGAGGUAUUCAAUUAUCAGUCUUGGAGGUUAGGGUAUUAAAUUAUUUUUAUUGAGCAUGUGUAGUUCAUUUAUUCCCAUUUUUAGAGCACAAAAACCAAGAAAAAACUCAAGAUUAGUCGAAAUAAUGAGAUCUAUAAGGUGUGGAGGAUAUAUGUUAACAUUAGUUAGUGUCGACUUAAUUUUUCAAACUCUAAGCCAUUAUCUAGCUU
rnacentral:lncRNA from 1 species